GACCAGGGGGUUUUGCCUCAGUAGCGGCGAGUGAAGCGGCAAGAGCUCAGAUUUGAAAUCGUGCUUUGCGGCACGAGUUGUAGAUUGCAGGUUGGAGUCUGUGUGGAAGGCGGUGUCCAAGUCCCUUGGAACAGGGCGCCCAGGAGGGUGAGAGCCCCGUGGGAUGCCGGCGGAAGCAGUGAGGCCCUUCUGACGAGUCGAGUUGUUUGGGAAU
rnacentral:rRNA from 1 species